rnacentral:rRNA from 1 species
GAUGAACGCUGGCGGCGUGCCUAAUACAUGCAAGUCGAGCGAACGGACGAGAAGCUUGCUUUUCUGAUGUUAGCGGCGGACGGGUGAGUAACACGUGGAUAACCUACCUAUAAGACUGGGAUAACUUCGGGAAACCGGAGCUAAUACCGGAUAAUAUUUUGAACCGCAUGGUUCAAAAGUGAAAGACGGUCUUGCUGUCACUUAUAGAUGGAUCCGCGCUGCAUUAGCUAGUUGGUAAGGUAACGGCUUACCAAGGCAACGAUGCAUAGCCGACCUGAGAGGGUGGUCUGCCACACUGGAACUGAGACACGGUCCAGACUCCUACGGGAGGCAGCCGUAGGGAAUCUUCCGCCAUGGGCGAAAGCCUGACGGAGCAACGCCGCGUGAGUGAUGAAGGUCUUCGGAUCGUAAAACUCUGUUAUUAGGGAAGAACAUAUGUGUAAGUAACUGUGCACAUCUUGACGGUACCUAAUCAGAAAGCCACGGCUAACUACGUG